GGGGGGUCAGGUAGAGUGGUUACUACCACCACUAUGCUUCUGUCCCCAGAAGCCUUUAGAGCUAUUCUGGAAAUAAAGGGAAAAUAGGCCCUUUUCCCACAGAAAUGGUCUAUAAGGGACUGCUGCAGGCAGCAGGUGGAGAGAUAAUCUGAUCAAAAUCAUUUGACUAUUGGGUAAUGUAAUCAAAAUCACUAAAGGAAUGUAAGGGGGUUCUAUUAGAACUUAACUUGGCUGUCUCUAGUUGUUUCUAGUUCUAUCA